rnacentral:rRNA from 1 species
GGGGGAUAUUGCACAAUGGGCGGAAGUCUGAUGCAGCGACGCCGCGUGGGGGAUGAAGGCUUUCGGGUUGUAAACCUCUUUUAUUCCUGAACAAGGCUUGGAUUGGUGUCUGGGUUGAGGGUAGGGGGUGAAUCAGCGCCGGCUAACUACGUGCCAGCAGCCGCGGUAAUACGUAGGGCGCGAGCGUUGUCCGGAUUUAUUGGGCGUAAAGAGCUCGUAGGCGGUUUGUUGCGUCUGCUGUGAAAACGCGGGGCUUAACUUCGCGCGUGCAGUGGGUACGGGCAGGCUAGAGUGCGGUAGGGGAGAUUGGAAUUCCUGGUGUAGCGGUGGAAUGCGCAGAUAUCAGGAGGAACACCGAUGGCGAAGGCAGGUCUCUGGGCCGUUACUGACCCUGAGGAGCGAAAGCGUGGGGAGCGAACA